CAUGCUCCUGGAGCGGCCGAUAUCUGAUUAGCUAGUUGGUGAGGUAAAGGCUCACCAAGGCGACGAUCAGUAGCUGGUCUGAGAGGACGACCAGCCACACUGGGACUGAGACACGGCCCAGACUCCUACGGGAGGCAGCAGUGGGGAAUAUUGGACAAUGGGCGAAAGCCUGAUCCAGCCAUGCCGCGUGUGUGAAGAAGGCCUUUUGGUUGUAAAGCACUUUAAGCGAGGAGUAG
rnacentral:rRNA from 14 species